GCCCAGAUGGCGAAAUUGGUAGACGCGCUAGUUUCAGGUACUAGUGUUGAAAGACGUGGAGGUUCGAGUCCUCUUCUGGGCACCA
rnacentral:tRNA from 1 species